CAGGCCUGGUUAGGGAAAAUAGAAUGUUCUAGCAUAGUUUAAAAUGGCAACUUUCCUCCCCCAACCUACAGGAAGCAUAAGGGAAUUUUUCUCUCAUCUUCUCUGUGAGAACCUGGUCAAGCUCCUGGAGGUAAAACCCCAAACAGUGUUGGGGGCCCUUAUGACUGAGUCCCCUGGAGUGUUUAACCCUCAGAUGUGUCCACACGAAGCCUCCAGCCAUUCAUCCAUUACAGUUCAGGUUUCCCUACCCUGGCAUGGGUUCUCAUUAUGGUUUCUGCUCCUGUGUUUCUGCUCUAGAAACCUGAGAAUUCAAUGAUGUAUUGGAGAAAACAAGUGCCUGCAAACUGUUUGCAGAUAUGUGGUCUUUGGUCUGAGCUACCAUAGAAAAGCUUCCCGCAACCAAAUGAAUUACAGACACUCAGCAAAA
rnacentral:lncRNA from 10 species